rnacentral:rRNA from 1 species
UUUCUUUGAAAAAUAUAGAAGUAUUAAGACAAGUAGAAUUUAAAUCAAACAAAAAUUGCUUUAAUUACCUUGAUCUCCAGCCUCUUGAGGAUAAGCUCAGAGGCUUCUGUUAUGGCACUGUAUUAUUUUAGUAGUUAUUGUGUGGGCCUAAAAUUAGCCAGCACGAAAGUUUGUUAUAAAAUAAACUAAAUAUCUAAUAAGAUUGAUAUACAUCUAUACCUAAAAACAUAGGUAAGUAAAGACUAGAAUUUUUAAGUUAAUAUACCUAUGCUAGGAUGAGUAUUUUAAUAAAGCUACAGUUAAGAUUAUUUUAAAAAGUUUUUCUCCCAGCUUAUGUUUUAAAUAUUAAUUAAGAGGAAGGAACUCGGCAAAAUUAUUGUUCCGCCUGUUUAUCAAAAACAUGGCUCCUUGACCUAUAUUAAUAAGGAGUCGAGCCUGCCCAGUGAAUUUUUUAACGGCCGCGGUACUCUGACCGUGCAAAGGUAGCAUAAUCAUUUUGCCUUAUAAUUGAAGGCUAGUAUGAAUGGUUUGACGAGAGCAAUACUGUCUCCCUCUUAUUUUUUAGAACUUGACUUUUAGGUGAAGAGGCCUAAGUUAGAUUGAAGGACAAGAAGACCCUGUCGAGCUUAAAAGAAUUUGCAGAAGUUAAUAUUAAGUAAGAUAAAUAAUCUGUUAAGCUUUUUAGUUGGGGCGACUAAGGAACAAAAAAAGCUUCUUAAACAAAAUAAAUAUAUAAAUAUAGAUCCGGUUUUACCGAUUUAAAGAAUUAGCUACCGCAGGGAUAACAGCAUAAUCUCUUCUGAGAGACCUAAUCGAAGAAGGGGGUUGUGACCUCGAUGUUGGACUAGAAUAACCUAAAGAUGCAGAAG